rnacentral:rRNA from 1 species
UUCCGGUUGAUCCUGCCAGAGGCCAUUGCUAUCGGAGUCCGACUUAGCCAUGCUAGUUGUACGAGUUUAGACUCGUGGCGGAUAGCUCAGUAACACGUGGCCAAACUACCCUAUAGAUCGUGAUAACCUCGGGAAACUGAGGCUAAUCGCGAAUACAGCUUCCAUGCUGGAAUGCAGGGAGCUCGAAAUGCUUCGGCGCUGUAGGAUGUGGCUGCGGUCGAUUAGGUAGACGGUGGGGUAAUGGCCCACCGUGCCGAUAAUCGAUACGGGUCGUGAGAGCGAGAACCCGGAGACGGUAUCUGAGACAAGAUACCGGGCCCUACGGGGCGCAGCAGGCGCGAAACCUUUACACUGCACGACAGUGCGAUAGGGGGACUCCGAGUGCGAGGGCAUAUCGUCCUCGCUUUUGUACACCGUAAGGUGGUGUACGAAUAAGAACUGGGCAAGACCGGUGCCAGCCGCCGCGGUAAUACCGGCAGUUCGAGUGAUGGCCGCUCUUAUUGGGCCUAAAGCGUUCGUAGCUGGCCGAGCAAGUCCGUCGGGAAAUCUGCCCACUUAAUGGGCAGGCGUCCGGCGGAAACUGCUCGGCUUGGGACCGGGAGACUCGAGGGGUACGUUCGGGGUAGGAGUGAAAUCCUAUAAUCCUGAACGGACCACCGAUGGCGAAAGCACCUCGAGAGCACGGAUCCGACAGUGAGGAACGAAAGCUGGGGUCUCGAACCGGAUUAGAUACCCGGGUAGUCCCAGCCGUUAACGAUGCUCGCUAGGUAUGGCGCAGGCUACGAGCCUGCGCUGUGCCGUAGGGAAGCCGAGAAGCGAGCCGCCUGGGAAGUACGUUCGCAAGAAUGAAACUUAAAGGAAUUGGCGGGGGAGCACUACAACCGGAGGAGCCUGCGGUUUAAUUGGACUCAACGCCGGG